GGUCCUAUCGUCUAAUGGUUAGGACACCACGCUUUCAAUGUGGGAACACGGGUCCGAUUCCCGUUAGGACCG
rnacentral:tRNA from 1 species